rnacentral:tRNA from 1 species
GCUUGGGUAGUUUAAUUUAAAAUACAAAGUUGUGGUCUUUGAGAAGUUUUUACUCUAAGUU